GGAAGGGUACAGCUCAAGUGGUAGAGCACAUGCUUAGCAUGCACGAGGUCCUGGGUUCAAUCCCCAGUACCUCCU
rnacentral:tRNA from 1 species